UUCGGUCAUAUCACGUUGAUACACCGUUUCCAGUACGAUCACUGAAGUUAAGUAAUGUAGAGCCUAGUUAUUACUUAGAGGGGUAACCGCUUGGGAAUACCAGGUGUUGUAAG